AUUGAACGCUGGCGGCAGGCCUAACACAUGCAAGUCGAGCGGAGCGGCGGACGGGUGAGUAAGGCCUAGGAAUCUGCCUGUGAGUGGGGGAUCACGUACGGAACCGGGCCCUAACACCACAUACUAUCAGAUGAGCCUAGGUCGGAUUAGCUAGUUGGUGGGGUAAAGGCCUACCAAGGCGACGCUCCCUAACUGGGCUGAGAGGAUGAUCAGCCACACUGGAACUGAGACACGGUCCAGACUCCUACGGGAGGCAGCAGUGGGGAAUAUUGGACAAUGGGCGAAAGCCUGAUCCAGCCAUGCCGCGUGUGUGAAGAAGGUCUUCGGAUUGUAAAGCACUUUAAGUUGGGAGGCGUUACCAACAGAAGAAGCACCGGCUAACUCCGUGCCAGCCGCCGCGGUAAUAC
rnacentral:rRNA from 1 species